rfam:Tupaia chinensis contig79698, whole genome shotgun sequence.
AUACUUACCUGGAUGGGGAGAUACCAUGAUCAUGAAGGUGGUUUCCCAGGGUGAGGUGUAUCCAUUGUACUCCAGAUGUGCUGACCCCAGCGAUUUCCCCAAAUGUGGGAAACUCGACUGCAUAAUUUGUGGUAGGGGGGGACUGCAUUAACGCUUUCCCCUG